UCUCCGAGCUCAGUGAGGGAGAGAAAGCUCGGAGGCUUCCAUGUUGCCGCCAUGGGUUCCACCUCGAGUGCAUCGACAUGUGGUUUGGGUCAAAUUCCACUUGCCCUAUCUGCCGGAGGGCGGUGGAGUCAAAAAAUGUGAUUUUGGGGGGUUUGGAGCAGAGUUAUGCGAGAAAUGAGGGGGAGUUGCAGCAGGGGAUGGUGGUGUCGGUGGAUAAAUCAGGGGAAGGGAGCUCGAGUCUGGUUUGAGGAAGUCUGCUGGAUUUUUCUCUGCAAUUGAGUAGAAAUGGAGGAGGUACAAGAUCAUCAUUCGCCAGUCACUACUUAUUGGAUCAUCAGAUAUAAAGAUCGAGGAAUUGUAGAAAGUCAUAGCGUUUAAAUUUGAUGUACUUUUUUGAAUCUUUUAGGUUUAUGUAAGUCAUAAGUGUAUGUGUAAUAAAUGUAAAUUUAAUUUUCUAAAUAUAAAUGUCCAACGUAAUUAUUUUUUA